GGUGAACGCUGGCGGCGUGGAUUAGGCAUGCAAGUCGAAUGGGUUUAGACCCAUGGCAGACGAGGUAGUAACGCGUAGGAUUACGUACCCUAAAGUCAGGGAUAACCCGGAGAAAUCCGGAAUAAUACUUGAUAGUCUCUUCGGAGUAAAGUUUUAACGCUUUAGGAACGGCCUGCGUAGUAUCAGCUUGUUGGUAGUGUAAAGGACUACCAAGGCUAUGACGCUUAGGGGAGGUGAGAGCCUGACCCCCACCGAUGGAACUGAGACACGGUCCAUACUCCUACGGGAGGCCGCAGUCGAGAAUCUUCCGCAAUGGACGAAAGUCUGACGGAGCGACGCCGCGUGAUUGAUGACGCCUUUCGGGGUGUAAAGAUCUUUUAUAUGGGAAGAAGUUUAUUGACGGUACCAUAUGAAUAAGGGGCUCCUAAACUCG
rnacentral:rRNA from 1 species